rnacentral:sRNA from 2 species
UGUAUCUGAAGCCUGACGAGGAUGAGAACCUCCGGGGGCAAGAGGUUCGACUCGAGCGAAGCGAGAGAACGUUGCGUCAGCAACGGCCCGCAGGGCGAGCCAUCCUCUAUCACCGGCAG